rnacentral:rRNA from 1 species
AAAGGAAUAGACGGGGGCCCGCACAAGCAGUGGAGUAUGUGGUUUAAUUCGAAGCAACGCGAAGAACCUUACCAGGGUUUGACAUCCUCUGACGGCUGUAGAGAUACAGAAUUCUCUUCGGAGACAGAGAGACAGGUGGUGCAUGGUUGUCGUCAGCUCGUGUCGUGAGAUGUUGGGUUAAGUCCCGCAACGAGCGCAACCCCUGUCGCCAGUUGCCAUCAUUAAGUUGGGGACUCUGGCGAGACCGCCGUUGACAAAACGGAGGAAGGUGGGGAUGACGUCAAAUCAUCAUGCCCCUUACGUCCUGGGCUACACACGUACUACAAUGGUAGGAACAACGGGUGGCGCCGCCGCGAGGCGAAGCAAAUCUCCAAAUCCUAUCUCAGUUCGGAUUGCAGGCUGCAACUCGCCUGCAUGAAGCAGGAAUUGCUAGUAAUGGCAGGUCAUCAUACUGCCGUGAAUACGUUCCCGGGCCUUGUACACACCGCCCGU